rnacentral:rRNA from 1 species
CCUACGGGAGGCAGCAGUGAGGAAUAUUGGUCAAUGGGCGCGAGCCUGAACCAGCCAAGUCGCGUGAGGGAAGACGGUCCUAUGGAUUGUAAACCGCUUUUGCCGGGGAGCAAAAAGGCCUCGUGAGGCCACAAGUGAGAGUACCCGAAGAAAAAGUAACGGCAAACUCCGUGCCAGCAGGCGCCGUAAUACGGAGGAUGCGAGCGGUAUCCGGAUUUAAUGGGUUUAAAGGGUGCGUAGGCGGGAUGCCAAGUCAGCGGUAAAAAUGCGGUGCUCAACGCCGUCGAGCCGUUGAAACUGGCGUUCUUGAGUGGGCGAGAAGUGUGCAGAAUGCGUGGUGUAGCGGUGAAAUGCAUAGAUAUCUCGCAGAACUCCGAUUGCGAAGGCAGCAUCCCGGCGCCCUACUGACGCUGAGGCACGAAAGCGUGGGUAUCGAACAGGAUUAAAUACCCCUGUAGUC